rnacentral:rRNA from 1 species
CCUACGGGAGGCAGCAGUAGGGAAUCUUUCACACUGGGCGAAAGCCUGAUGGAGCAACGCCGCGUGCAGGAUGAAGGCCUUCGGGUUGUAAACUGCUUUUAUAAGCGAGAAAUAUGAUGGUAACUUAUGAAUAAGGAUCGGCUAACUACGUGCCAGCAGCCGCGGUCAUACGUAGGAUCCGAGCAUUAUCCGGAAUGACUGGGUGUAAAGAGUUGCGUAGGUUGAAUAAUAAGUACCUAGUGAAAUCUGGUGGCUUAACCAUUCAGACUAUUAGCUAAACUGUUAAGCUCGAGAGCGUUAGGGGUAACUGGAAUGUCUAGUGUAGGAGUGAAAUCCGUAGAUAUUAGAAGGAACACCAAUAGCGUAGGCAGGUUACUGGGACGGUUCUGACACUAAGGCACGAAAGCGUAGGGAGCAAACGGGAUUAGAUACCCCGGUAGGC